rnacentral:rRNA from 1 species
UACGUAGGGUGCAAGCGUUGUCCGGAAUUAUUGGGCGUAAAGAGCUCGUAGGCGGUUUGUUGCGUCGGCCGUGAAAACCUGCAGCUUAACUGUGGGCCUGCGGCCGAUACGGGCAGACUUGAGUUCGGUAGGGGAGACUGGAAUUCCUGGUGUAGCGGUGAAAUGCGCAGAUAUCAGGAGGAACACCGGUGGCGAAGGCGGAUCUCUGGGCCUUACCUGACGCUCAGGCGCGAAAGCUAGGGGAGCGAACAGG